GGGAGAGAUAACAGCUCAGGGCAAUCAGCCAGAAGUGCUCUCAGCAGCUGGGACAAUAAGUUCUGAUGGGGAAUCUGGUGUUGCAUCAUAAUGUCCAUUACAGGCAUCAGAUCAGAUAAUUCUGGAGGCUAAGUCUCAAGACCCAGGAAGCUACAGUCUCAAGACCCAAGAAGAGCUAAUAUUUCAGUUCAAAUACAAAGGCAGCAAAGACUGAUGUCCAGCUCAAACCUCUGACUAGGCAAGAGGGAGUCCCUGUUACUCAUAGAAAGACACAGGAUAAAAUUGCAUUUCUCUGCUUGUUUGAAGUUAAAUUGGUCAUGGACAUGCCUUGGCCCAUGAAAAGCAUGUCCCUUGCGGGCAGGAGCUGCAAGAACCAGCGUGCGCCUUCUCCGUUCUUUUUCCUCUGCCUCAGUGACUGACAACAAGAAUAACUGCUCUAUCACUCUGGGUCCUCAGUGAGGACAUCACCAAUAAACUUUGACCUUUCUUGGCUUGUUUUGAAAGCAGUUGAAAUUUGAGGAAGGGGGCGUUGU